GCGUUAUAAAUCAUUGUGUUGUAAUAUUUCUUACGCAUUUGAAAUCAGCUACUUACUGGCUAUUACGCAACGCUUUUUCAUUAGGCAACUAUUGCGUUGCGUUGCGUUAUAAAUCAUUACAAAAUAAUUUUUAGAAAUUCCAAAAUAACGAUGAAUGCGAUUUCUGGUACUCUCAAGUGGUCGUUGUUCGAUUUUAACAGCACUUGUGGUGCCCAAGUACGGCACUGGUGAAAUGUAUUAUUAGUCGAGAGUACGGGCCUGGAGAGAAAACAGUAAACAGUACGAGUCGAGAAGAUACACAAUAAAAGUACGGUGAUUUGUUGAAUAGUAAUUUGCCUAUAGUUAUAUUCUAAAUAUUAGAAAUACCACUCGAGAAUACCACAUUUGGCGACGGAGGUAAACGUUUUGUUGGAGGAAGUAAAGACAACUAAACUACGCUGGUAGUAGCUGUUUAAUUCGCAGCGGAUUAAUGCUACCAAAGGGUAGCGGCUGUCUAAGAACAGCGUGAAUCGAUACUAUCAAAUGAAAGUAGCUGUUGACAAACAGCGACAACGAAAAGCCUUCAGUGGCAGCUCGGAAGCGAUACCAUUUACCGGACGGUAGAGACUCGUAGAAGUCGGAAAUCUAUAAGCCAUUCUCAGUGGCGGCUCCGAAGCGAAAAUAAUCUACUGCUUACGUAGAGGCCCGGGAGCACGAUAAACAACGUUGACUUGUACCGAGACAACGACAACAGCUUUGUAAAAUCGUUACUGACUGCUCUGGCCGGUACAAUGGAAAAGUGGGAUAUACCGUAAUCCGGGGUAACAUUGAUCAGUUUUUGAGAUAUUUCUUAAAUGUUUCAUUUGAAAAUCCAAAUGUCGCAAGUCUUUUAAUUUUAAAACAAGUACUGGUACCCACCGCUCGUGUCUGUAUGCUGAAUUUUUGUUUUCAAAAGAUUUAAGUAUGUUUAAAAAAAUGUUUAAAGUGAUUUUUUGAUUUAGCUG